CAUGGAUCAUCUGUCGCGGGGAUUUUGGAUCGUCAGAAGGAGAAAUACAGCAGGACUUUACAAGCAGACAUUCUUCAGCGGUUCUUUUCUGGUGAAAUAAAGGGGUGGCGAAUGUCGGUCGUGGAGAGCCGCAGUCCUGCAGAGUUUAGCUCCAGCUCUAAUCAAACACACCUGAACAGGUGGUCUGAGUUUCCAUGAGUUUCCUAGGCUAACUACCCCAGGCAUGAUUGCACAAGACUUUUACACAUUACACCAGGAUGCAGCUCCAAAACUCUUCGAGAAAUGGCUCCCUUGAUAUACCGAUAGGAUCUUGCAUUUUUCUAAACCAGAAGCAAAGCUUCCAUGUUCAGUUGAGGAGAUGACACAAGAUGCAAAGGGAUAUCUUGCAUUAAAGCUGCUCCCUGUUUUGCUUCCACCUCCACCCUUUAAAACUGCCAGAAAAAGUCCGGCCCAGCAUUGAUGAUGGCAAAAAAGCUUUCAUCGAUAUUCAGCCUGUUGGAACAAAUAUGAUGGAGUACCUCCAGCAGGCUGAAGCAUCAGGACUUUACCCUUAUUUCCUGUCACUUGAAAAUGGACACAUGAGUCCCAGGCAUUCGUCAUCCUUGGAGGAGAAACUUUGGACAAGGCACUUUG